UAAAUAAAUCAAAUAAAAGAAAAUCAAAAGACAAAUGUGAAAAACGUGGAAGUGGAAGUGCGAUCUCGAGAGACGAAUGUAAAUAAAUUCGCCAAAAUGAUUGUGAAAAUGGAGCCCGACGAACUAAUCACCUUUCGUGUCCAGUAUCUGGUGGAUAGUGAUCCGCUAUCGGCCUGCACCGCCUUCCCCAUACCGGUGCGUGCCCCCACGUAUGCGUUUGCCACAACCAUGCCACUGGCCACGCAGAUCGGCACCAUUCUCAGGCUGUUGAAUGCCCCACAAAGUAUCGAUGAUGCAGCCAUUCAGGUGUACAAGGAUGGGGACUAUGGUGCCUAUUUGGACCUGGAAUCAUCGCUGGCCGAACAGACCGAGGAGAUCGAGGGCCUGAACGCGAGUCGCAAGAACUCGCUGGUGGUACGCACCCAACUGAACGUACGCGUGCAUUCGAUUAUUGAAAAACUACUCUCAUCGGAGGGCAGCGACCUGCGACGUGCGCUGUUCUCAUUGAAGCAGGUGUUCCAGGAGGAUAAGGAUCUGGUGCAUGCCUUUGUGGCCCUCGGCGGCCUCAAUUGUCUGGUGCGCGUGGGCAAUUGUGCAAAUCAAAACUAUCAGAAUUAUAUACUGCGUGCCCUCGGACAGGUCAUGCUCUAUGUGGAUGGAAUGAACGGCGUGAUGAAGCAUGAGCCGACAAUGCAAUGGCUAUACUCAUUGAUUGCCUCCAAUUACCGAUCCGUGGUGAAGACGGCACUCAAGCUGUUGCUGGUCUUUGUCGAAUAUGCCGAGUCCAAUUGCUAUGUGCUGGUCAGUGCCAUACACGCGGUGGAUGCCACACAGGGAACGCUGCCAUGGUCCAACAUAAUGAGACUGCUCAAGGACUAUGACAAUGCGGAUGCCGAACUGGUGAUCUAUGCCACAUCGCUGAUCAACAAAACCCUCGCGGGCCUCAACGAUCAGGACACGUUCUACGACGAGAGCGACCUGCUGGAGCAGCAGGGCAUGGAGACGGUCAUUCGGCGCUACAUGUCCAAGCCGGGCACUGAUCUGGAUCUGCUCGAUCAGCUGCAACUCUAUGAGGCUGUGCUCAAAUUCGAAGAUGGUGAAUCGGACGGGCAGCGGCUGCCGCAGAACUCCAUGCGCAAGACGCAGCGCUAUCGGCCGGGCACGAACACCACGGAGCGGCGUAAGUCGCGUCGCCACAGCACCGACAACAGUCCGGCGCCCAUCACCAAGGUCCUGCCCACCACAAUGCUGCGUAUGACGCCCACCCAGGGCACCCUGGACGAGGACAGUUCGGGCUCCACCAACUCCACGGAGUUCAGUGGCGGCCUGUUCAACGAGAAGAAGCCACGCGACGGUGCGGGCGUCACGCCCGGUUUGAGGCGUCGUCGCGAGCGAGCGGAGCGGCACAAGAGCUUCCUCAAGGAGCAGCAGGAGGCAGCGGCCAAUGGCAUAUUUGCCGCACUGGAGCAGCGCGAGGGUCUGGGCCAAAUCGUAACAGCCAUUCCUGCCACCAUACAAAGCGGCGACAGUCCGCCGCAGUCAUUGCAACACGAGCUGCCGCAGCCUCAGCUGCAGCCUCAGCCGCAGCCAUGCAACAAUAAUAUCAGCAGCAGCAACAGCAACAGCAACUGCAACAGCAACAAUGAUACGCCCAACAACAGCCUGCUGCUGAGUCCCAGCAAACAGCUGCUGAGCGGCAGCCACAGCAUCUCGAUCAUCAACAACAGCUUCGACAAGGCCAACAACAAUAACACCAAUAACCAGAACGAGUUCCUCACGAAAAAGAAUCUGUUCCGCGAACGGAACGCCACGGUGAUCAACGGGAUCAUGAAGAACAUCCAGCAGACGGACAGUGGCUACAAGAAGUACGAGAACGAUGCCAAUCGCCUGAACAACUACUACACGCAGAUGAGUCAAUCGCCCAAGCAUCAGCAGCAGCAGCAGCAGCAGCAGCAACAGGAUCCCGAGGAUGUCCUGCUGAGUCCCAAGAAGCCGCUGAAUGCCUCAGGCUUUGAUUUUACGGCCGUUCCGCUUAGCUCCACGCCGGUCAAGGGCGACAUACUGCCAGAAACAGAGCCGCUGAGUCCCAUACGGAAACCCAUUGCAAUGGUGGCGCCACCACCGCCUCCGCCACCGCCGCCACCGCCACCCGGCUGGUGGCAUGCCCCCAUUGGCAGCAUUCCAGCCAGAACCCUAACCAGUACUAACCCCGCUGUGGAUACCCCAACAGAUAUUGACAGCGAGGGGAAGCAGCAACUGCUGCAGCUGCAGCUGAAGCGCGAUCACACGGUCAAGGAUCUGACACAGAAGCUGAGCAACCUGCCCACAAGUCCCACACAGGAGCCUGGCAGUCGCUCGGCCAUUGUCGGCGACAUGUCCGGCCUCAUAUCGAAAGCCAAAGAGGGACUGGCCAAGAGCAAAAGCAAGGGAGAAAUAUCAAGAUCGUCGAGUGUGGAUCAGGAUCAGCUGAAAAAGUCCGAGCCGAAGAAAUCGGAGAACGAACUCCACUGGGAGGAGCUGGUGCGGAAUAUGACGCGACCCUUGAACCUCUGCGACCUGGACUUUACCGAUCUGCACGACGACGAUGAGAAGGAUGUGCUGGCGCCACGUGGCCUGGGUGUGGGAAUUCCACCCCCACCGCCGCCAUUUGCCAGCGGAGGCAUACUGCCACCCCCCAUGAUGCCGCCAGCACCCAGUUUGAUCCCUCCCCCAAUGUUCGGCUAUGGCGGCAGCCUCACCAACAGUGUGAACAGCUCCCUGAACGGAUCCGUAAACGGGGAUCUGGUCAAUGGGAACAACACGAUCAAGAAGAACAAGAAGACGGUCAAGCUCUUCUGGAAGGAAGUGCGCGAAGACUUGAUACCCCAGGUGGUGGGUAAGACCAUUUGGGAUGAGCUGCCCAACGCCAAUGUGGAUACCCAGAAGCUCGAGCAUCUCUUUGAGUCCAGGGCCAAAGACUUGAUGACCAAGAAACAACAAGAGCUAAACAAGAGCAAAGAGAUCAUUGUGCUCGAUCACAAACGUUCCAAUGCGAUCAAUAUAGCAAUUACGAAGCUGCCGCCACCGCGUGCCAUCAAGGCGGCCAUCCUGAAGAUGGACGCCACUGUGGUGACCCGUGAGGGCAUUGACAAGCUUCUGAAUAUGCUGCCAACGGAUGAGGAGCGUGGCAAGAUCCAAGAGGCGCAGCUGGUUAACCCAGAGCUGCCACUGGGCAGUGCCGAGCAGUUCCUCUUGACGCUGGCCUCCAUCUCGGAGCUGGGGGCACGACUGAAGCUGUGGGCCUUCCGCCUGGACUUUGACAACAGUGAGAAGGAAAUUGCCGAACCGCUGAUGGAUCUCAAGCAAGGCAUUGAGAUCUUGCGUCAGAAUCGCACCUUCCGCAGCAUUCUCUCGACGCUGCUGUCCGUGGGCAUCUUCCUGAAUGGCGCCCCCGUCAAGGGCUUCCAGAUCGAGUAUCUGGCCAAGGUGCCGGAGGUGAAGGACACCGUGCACAAGCACUCGCUGCUGCACCAUCUCUGCCACAUGGUCAUGGAGUCGAGCAGCGACACGAGUGAUCUGUACUCGGAAAUCGGUCCCAUAACGCGUGCCUCCAAGGCCGACUUUGCCGACCUGGCCCACAACCUUACCCAGCUGGAGUCCGAGUGCAAGGCCUCCUGGGAUCGCCUCAAAGUGAUAGCCAAACACGACUGCCCCCCACCGCUGAAGCAGAAGCUCGUGGACUUCCUGGCCGAUUGUGCGGAGCGCAUAAUCAUCCUGCAGAUCGUACAUCGGCGCGUGAUGAACCGAUAUCGCAAGUUCCUGCUCUGGCUGGGCAUGCCCCAGCACAGUGUGGCCGAGUCCCGGCCGAAUGAGUUCUGCCGCACCCUGUCCGAGUUCGCUUUGGAGUAUCGCACGACCAGGGAGCGGGUGCAGCAGCAGCUCGAGAAGAAGGCCAAUCAUCGCGAGCGCAAUAAGACGCGUGGCAAGCUGAUCAUCGAUAUGGCCAAGUUCAAGACCAAAGAGGAUGUGGCCGACGCAGAGUUGAAAACCCUUCUGGGCACACCCAGCGCGGAUCAGGCCGAUGGCACACUCACCUGGCGACGUCGUCGGGCCGAGCAACUGCGCUCACCCAUUGCCCGCCAGAGCGAGGAGCAGUUCACCGAUGGCGAUGACGAGAUACUCGAAUCUCUGGUCAAGACCGCCACCAAGGCGCCGGGCACACGCACCACGCCCAGGGAGCGCAAGCGGACGCGUAAUGCGGAUCGCAAAUCAUUGAAGCGCAGCCGCACGCGAGAAGGAUUCACAGUUGAAAGAGCACCAUCGCCAUAGAAACCGAAAUGCUGUGUUCAGCGCUAACCGUAACCGUUACCGUUAGUGUUAACAGUAGCCGUAACCGUAACCGUUACCGUUACCGAAAGAGAACAGCCAAACUGUUUUUUUGUAGGUCUUACCUUUUUUGUGCGACGGACGCUUAAGAACGGUCUGACCGAUGAGGAGAAACAGCAUGUGGCUGCCUUGAUACAAACCUAUUAGGAUCUAGACAGAUGUAUAUUUCCAUUGAGAGAUACCGAUCCCCCCUCGCCACACGCCCCCACGACCACACUCGCCCAGUGAUGUCACAAAUCGGGCUAUGCGCGCAACAGACUGAAAUUGGCGAUCUCGGACGAGCAGAGCAGCAAGCGAAACCCCCAGAAAAAUCCUCCUUUUAUACGACACACCACAUCACAAGCAUCACAACAACAACAACAAAAUAACGAAAAUGUCCUUAAAAGAAUGCGUUUUUCAUAGUGUUUCUAUCCUGUUAUUAAUAUUAUUAUUUAAAUUUUGUUUUUGCUUCGGCCAAGUAUUAUUAAUUAAACGUAAUCUGUAUUAAUAGAUGGAAACGAUUUUAAUGUUAGACAUUUUUCAAAUUGCUACACAAUUUCGAUACGUCCCCCGAUAUGACUUUUAAAUUAUACCAAAAUGUCACAAAGUUUUUGUGGGCUACUUAAAUUAACUUAAACUAGGAGAAAACUUAUGACUACCUUAACUACGAAUCCAAUCAAUAAAUAAAGUUAUUUAUUAUA